AUUGAACGCUGGCGGCAUGCCUUACACAUGCAAGUCGAACGGCAGCAUGAUCUGGCUUGCUAGAUUGAUGGCGAGUGGCGAACGGGUGUGUAAUACAUCGGAACGUGCUCUGUAGCGGGGGAUAACUAGUCGAAAGAUUAGCUAAUACCGCAUACGACCUGAGGGUGAAAGUGGGGGACCGCAAGGCCUCAUGCUAUAGGAUCGGCCGAUGUCGGAUUAGCUAGUUGGUGAGGUAAAGGCUCACCAAGGCGACGAUCAGUAGCUGGUCUGAGAGGACGAUCGGCCACACUGGAACUGAGACACGGCCCAGACUCCUACGGGAGGCAGCAGUGGGGAAUUUUGGACAAUGGGCGAAAGCCUGAUCCAGCAAUGCCGCGUGUGUGAAGAAGGCCUUCGGGUUGUAAAGCACUUUUGUCCGGAAAGAAAUGGCUCUGGUUAAUACCUGGGGUCGAUGACGGUACCGGAAGAAUAAGGACCGGCUAACUACGUG
rnacentral:rRNA from 1 species